AUUUAUAGAUGAUUUGCAUCAUCCUAUUAACAGGGACUAAAGCAGAGGUUUCAAGAAUACAGAAUUGGUCAUUUAACCAAGCAUCUAGCUGCUGUAGGAGUGCGACAAAAACAUUGAAUCAUCAUUAUUUUGCAUUUGUCCAGCCCUGAUUAUAAGAAGUGAGCAAGCAGCUGUCGCAUUUAAUCCAUCAUUUUUCAACACCACAUGCCGCUUGCUAACCUGGUUGCAUUUUUGAGGUCCUUCAACUAUUGCAUUCUGAGAUGAGGUCUUCUAGUUCAUCAACGAUAGCUUUAUAGCAGAAAAAAUAUUGCU
rnacentral:misc_RNA from 1 species